rnacentral:snRNA from 1 species
GUGCUCACUUCAGCAGCACAUAUACUAAAACUGGAAUGAUACAGAGAAGAUUAGCAUGGCCCCUGCUCAAGGAUAACAUUCAAAUUCAUGAAGCAUUCUGCAUUUUU